CACGUAGGGUGCGAGCGUUGUCCGGAAUUAUUGGGCGUAAAGAGCUCGUAGGCGGUGUGUCGCGUCGGCCGUGAAAACCUGCAGCUUAACUGUGGGCUUGCGGUCGAUACGGGCAUCACUGGAGUUCGGCAGGGGAGACUGGAAUUCCGUGGUGAUAGCGGUGAAAUGCGCAGAUAUCGAGGAGGAACACCGGUGGCGAAGGCGGGUCUCUGGGCC
rnacentral:rRNA from 1 species